rnacentral:tRNA from 1 species
GUCCACGUAGCUUAGCACAAAGCAUAACACUGAAGAUGUUAAGACGGACCCUAAAAAGCCCCACCAACA